GACGAACGCUGGCGGCGUGCUUAACACAUGCAAGUCGAACGGAAAGGCCCUGCUUUUGUGGGGUGCUCGAGUGGCGAACGGGUGAGUAACACGUGAGUAACCUGCCCUUGACUUUGGGAUAACUUCAGGAAACUGGGGCUAAUACCGGAUAGGAGCUCCUGCUGCAUGGUGGGGAUUGGAAAGUUUCGGCGGUUGGGGAUGGACUCGCGGCUUAUCAGCUUGUUGGUGGGGUAGUGGCUUACCAAGGCUUUGACGGGUAGCCGGCCUGAGAGGGUGACCGGCCACAUUGGGACUGAGAGACGGCCCAGACUCCUACGGGAGGCAGCAGUGGGGAAUAUUGCACAAUGGGCGGAAGCCUGAUGCAGCAACGCCGCGUGCGGGAUGACGGCCUUCGGGUUGUAAACCGCUUUCGCCUGUGACGAAGCGUGAGUGACGGUAAUGGGUAAAGAAGCACCGGCUAACUACGUG
rnacentral:rRNA from 1 species